UACAGAGACUGCAAGCGUUUAUUCGGAUUCACUGGGCGUAAAGGGUGCGCAGGCGGUUGGGUGUGUCAGAUGUGAAAAUCCCGAGGCUCAACCUCGGAACUGCGUCUGAAACUACUCGACUAGAGUACUGGAGAGGGUAACGGAAUUCACGGUGUAGCAGUGAAAUGCGUAGAUAUCGUGAGGAACACCAGAGGCGAAGGCGGUUACCUGGACAGUUACUGACGCUCAGGCACGAAAGCAUGGGGAGCAAAAGGG
rnacentral:rRNA from 1 species